GGGAUAAAUACCAGGGGAACUAAAAUUUUUGGAAAAACUUAAUAAAUCUGCAACUCCCCGCCCAAACUGAUCCAUGGAAAUCGGAUGUUUUGCAUACACGUUCGUUCUACAUACACGUUCGAUGAUUCAAGAUCCCAUUAUCCCUCAACUACUCCUUCACGAACAUUCUACUACCACGCCCAUCUGUUUUCGUAUGAGAUUCGGUGGAUUCACUCAUUCAAUCAGCCUGUAUUUGAAGAUUAAGCACAAUGUGGAAGUUUAUGUUUUCGAUGAUGAUGGUCCUUACAAGAACGAGGCCUGAAGAAGAUUCUAGAGGACCUACAAAUCAGUCGGUGGCCAUUGGAAGUGCAUCUGAUAUGGUACCGCGCUCGACCCGUAGACGCAAGCGUAACGCCACUACAACUACUGAUUCAAAUCAAACCCAGGUUGAUCCACCAAAAAGGCGUGGUCCAAAUCUCAAUCUUAGCGCUACAAAAGACUUUGAGAAUUUGCCUGAGGGUUCCAAAAUUUCUUUAACAAUGGCUGGCGGUACGAAAGGAUUUGUUGGGCGUACAGCUACUUAGUUUGCAAAUGAGUGUGGGAUUGUAAUGCGUGGUGUAUGUCCAAUGAACUUUCAUAAAUGGGAGUCCGUACCUGCUGAUAUAAAAAAUCUGAUGUAUGAAAAGUUACAAGGAAAAUUCAAUUUGUUGCGAACAGAUAGAGUUUUCAUGGGAUAUGUGGAUUCUCGACUACAUUACCAAUGGAAACGUACCAGAGGUGAGUUGAGUGCCCACUGGAAGAAUAAUGGAGGAAAAACCAAUCCUCGGUUGGCUAGAUCAAUGAUGAAAUCCAAUUGUCGGAGUCCGGAAGAUUGGAACCAUUUAUGCGAUUAUUGGGAGUUAGAAUCAACUCGGAGAUACAGUGAUCAAAUGGAAUGUAAUCGUGGAAAACAAGUUGUUACAAGUAACACCGCCUAGCCCCUUUGAAGUCUAUUACAAGUUGCAUUAUAAUGCUAAAAAAGGAUGGCAAAAUGAGGAGGCAGAAACUGAAUAUACAAAUCGCGAGACUCAAACACCGCCUAGCCCCUUUGAAGUCUAUUACAAGUUGCAUUAUAAUGCUAAAAAAGGAUGGCAAAAUGAGGAGGCAGAAACUGAAUAUGCAAAUCUUAUUCAACAUAAAGAGGAGGCAGUGGCGAAGUUAAUUUCUAAUGGGACAAUGAUAACUACUACCAUGGAUCACGAGCUCGAAAAGGAGGCAAUUGAAAGUGUAUGUGCCAAGAAAAAAACAACAAAAUCUGCAUGGAAGGUAGGCGUUGGAC